rnacentral:misc_RNA from 1 species
GUGAAUCAUCGAAUCUUUGAACGCAAAUUGCGCCUUCUUCUAUAGGCGUGACUGUUUGAGGGCACCAUUUAACAAAUAAUGUGCCGCGAUUUUUGUUUCAUACGUAGCUGAGCUUUCCAGGAAUUUGAAAUUUUUGCUGGCACAUAAUGAAAAUCGUGAAAGUUUUUUUCAGUUCGAGUGUAGUAUAAUCUUUCAUUGGGUUCUGAAGAAACAUC